rnacentral:rRNA from 2 species
CUUUCUGAAGUUUGACCUCGAAUCAGGUAGGAUUACCCGCUGAACUUAAGCAUAUCAAUAAGCGGAGGAAAAGAAACCAACAGGGAUUGCCCUAGUAACGGCGAGUGAAGCGGCAACAGCUCAAAUUUGAAAUCUGGCCCUCGGGUCCGAGUUGUAAUUUGUAGAGGAUGCUUUUGGUGAGGUACCUUCCGAGUUCCCUGGAACGGGACGCCAUAGAGGGUGAGAGCCCCGUCUGGUUGGAUACCGAUCCUCUGUAAAGCUCCUUCAACGAGUCGAGUAGUUUGGGAAUGCUGCUCUAAAUGGGAGGUAUAUGUCUUCUAAAGCUAAAUAUUGGCCAGAGACCGAUAGCGCACAAGUAGAGUGAUCGAAAGAUGAAAAGCACUUUGAAAAGAGAGUUAAAAAGUACGUGAAAUUGUUGAAAGGGAAGCGCUUAUGACCAGACUUGGACUUGGUUGAUCAUCCUGGGUUCUCCCUGGUGCACUCUUCCAGUUCAGGCCAGCAUCAGUUCAUCGCGGGGGAUAAAGGCUUUAGGAAUGUGGCUCCUUCGGGAGUGUUAUAACCUAUUGUGUAAUACCCUGCUUUGGACUGAGGUUCGCGCAUCUGCAAGGAUGCUGGCGUAAUGGUCAUCAGCGACCCGUCUUGAAACACGGACCAAGGAGUCGUCUUCGUAUGCGAGUGUUCGGGUGUUAAACCCCUACGCGUAAUGAAAGUGAACGCAGGUGAGAGCUUCGGCGCAUCAUCGACCGAUCCUGAUGUUCUCGGAUGGAUUUGAGUAAGAGCAUACGGGGCCGGACCCGAAAGAAGGUGAACUAUGCCUGUAUAGGGUGAAGCCAGAGGAAACUCUGGUGGAGGCUCGCAGCGGUUCUGACGUGCAAAUCGAUCGUCAAAUAUGGGCAUGGGGGCGAAAGACUAAUCGAACCUUCUAGUAGCUGGUUUCCGCCGAGUUCCCCUCAGA